GCGGUGGUAGCUCAGUUGGUAGAGCACUGGAUUGUGGAUCCAGAUGUCAAGGGUUCGAUCCCCUUCCAUCGCC
rnacentral:tRNA from 1 species